rnacentral:lncRNA from 1 species
UUACCCAUCUGCCUGGCCAGACCUGUUCUCCAGGGCUCUGUCCUGCUCUGGGGGCCACACACUUGGACAAGGUGGGAGAGGGGUCAGAUCCACCUCUGGAGCUGAGGGCAGAAAUAACCACUGGGAAGGCAGCUUCGUUUCCAGCCUCCUGGGGCCUUGAUGUCACAGCGUUGGAGACGGUGUUGCGGUGAAAAAAAAAUUCCCCAAGUGUAAACAGGAGAAAGGUGCUGGUUAAGUUACUCAUCAUUAUCUUAUUAUUAACAAAAUAAAGCACUAUCUAUGUUUACAGUCAUAAAAAAACAAACAGCCUGGAGAGAAGUUGGGCUUGAGGGAAGGGGGGGG